UGUAAAUAAUCAUGAUACAAUUCUUCGCUCAAUAUCAACAAACUUCUACGUUCUAAUAACAGACUAAACUGCAGUUUUAAUUGUUGCGGCUAAAAAAAACAACUAUGUAAAUCUAGAAGAGUAUGAGUUCCGCAACUAAUAGUAGUUACCAUUGGAUAAAAAAGUGGACCAUCUGAAUGUGCCUAUUAAAAAUCCAAAUUUCUAAAAGAUCAUUUAUAAAUAUUCGUCGAAGAAAGAGAAUAAUAUCUAAUUGAUUAUAUAUACACUCGCAAGUGUUUACUAUAAUUGUUACAUACCAUUAUUCCUUGACCAGGCAAAUACUCAUUAAUUAAUACAUGAUUAGGUGCCUUAUCUUUUUCAAAAACAUUUAAAGAAGUUAUUUUAUCCAUGUAAAUUCGAAGCCACUAGAAGUUUAUAAUUUAUUAGAGUAAUUUUAAUUUUCUAUAGCAUUACUUACACUUGGUAUUUCUUCGGCUAUCAUUCCUUUGGGAUGAGGUAUACCACCCCAAUUUUGUAAUCUUCUAUUACUCAAUUGAGUCCAUUUUGGAAGAGGAACAGUAUCAACAUGUUUCAAUAUUUGUCUUUCUUCCUCUUCAGUUAUAAAAUUUGGUAUAUAUCGUGCCAUAUCUGGAAUCUACAUUUUACAAACUGUCAACAUAACCUUGCUUUCCCGUCUAUAAGAAAUAAUAAUUAAAACAGACCUCUUUAACCACAUUUUCGACGAGAACACGUUCUUGCGUAUACAUUUUUAAAAAAAUAAUAAAGAAGAAAUUUAUUUAAAAUAAUAACGAUUAAGUUUAAAAUAAACAAAUCGAUAUUUGCUUCGUAGAUUAUACUUAUAUCGAAAUAUAUCUCGAACAAAUAACUAUCGACUCUAAGUUAAUCGAACUUAGUUAUAAAUUCUGUCGUCAGAGUGUGCGCGCGCUUAUAAACGAGGUCAUUUUUAAUUAGUAAGUUUCACCUCUAGAAUAUUUAAGUUGGAAGAGGGAAGAAAGUGUCGACGUUGAAACAACAAUCGUUAGUUCGACCGUCUAUAUUAUGUGAAAGGUUUUUCAAUUUUUCUUCUCUACAACAUUCUUUGUAAUUUACGUGUAUUUAGCACUAUGUAAAAUGAUAUAACAAUUAAAUUAUGAAAUAAUUCGUAUAACUUUU
rnacentral:lncRNA from 1 species